AACGAACGCUGGCGGCAGGCUUAACACAUGCAAGUCGAACGCCCCGCAAGGGGAGUGGCAGACGGGUGAGUAACGCGUGGGAAUCUACCCAUCUCUGCGGAAUAGCUCCGGGAAACUGGAAUUAAUACCGCAUACGCCCUACGGGGGACAGAUUUAUCGGGGAUGGAUGAGCCCGCGUUGGAUUAGCUAGUUGGUGGGGUAAAGGCCUACCAAGGCGACGAUGCAUAGCUGGUCUGAGAGGAUGAUCAGCCACAUUGGGACUGAGACACGGCCCAACCUCCUACGGGAGGCAGCAGUGGGGAAUAUUGGACAAUGGGCGCAAGCCUGAUCCAGCCAUGCCGCGUGAGUGAUGAAGGCCUUAGGGUUGUAAAGCUCUUUCACCGGUGAAGUUAAUGCCGGUAACCGGAGAAGAAGCCCCGGCUAACUUCGUGCCAGCCGCCGCCGUAA
rnacentral:rRNA from 1 species